rnacentral:rRNA from 1 species
GACGAACGCUGGCGGCGUGCCUAAUACAUGCAAGUUGAGCGCUGAAGGUUGGUUCUUGUUCCAACUGGAUGAGCAGCGAACGGGUGAGUAACGCGUGGGACAUCUGCCUUUGAGCGGGGGACAACAUUUGGAAACGAAUGCUAAUACCGCAUACAAACUUUAAACACAAGUUUUAGGUGUGAAGGAUGCAAUUGCAUCACUCAAAGAUGGUCCCGCGUUGUAUUAGCUAGUUGGUGAGGUACAGACUCACCAAGGCGAUGAUACAUACCCGAGCUGAGAGGGCUGACGGCGUCAUCGGGAACGUGAGAACGCCCAAACGGCCACGGGAGGCAGCAGUAGGGAAUGUGCGGAAAAGGACGAAAGGCUGACCGAGCAACGGCGGCGGAGUGAAGAAGGUUAUCGGGUCGUAAAACUUGUUUGGUAGAGAAGAACGUGGGUGAGAGGGGAAAGUUCAUCAAGUGACGGUAACUACUCAGAAAGCGACGGCUAACUACGUG